GGGCCCGCACAAGCGGUGGAGUAUGUGGUUUAAUUCGAUGCAACGCGAAGAACCUUACCAGGGUUUGACAUCCUGCGAAUCUCUUGGAAACGAGAGAGUGCCUUCGGGAACGCAGUGACAGGUGGUGCAUGGCUGUCGUCAGCUCGUGUCGUGAGAUGUUGGGUUAAGUCCCGCAACGAGCGCAACCCACGUCGUUAGUUGCCAGCAUUUAGUUGGGCACUCUAGCGAGACCGCCGGUGAUAAACCGGAGGAAGGUGUGGAUGACGUCAAGUCAUCAUGCCCCUUACAUCCUGGGCUACACACGUACUACAAUGCUACGGACAAAGGGCAGCAAACUCGCGAGAGCUAGCAAAUCCCAUAAACCGUGGCUCAGUUCGGAUCGCAGUCUGCAACUCGACUGCGUGAAGCUGGAAUCGCUAG
rnacentral:rRNA from 1 species